rnacentral:lncRNA from 1 species
AAGUUGUAAUUUAGAACAAUUUAUUUUAGCUCACUGAUUUCAUCUGGGUUAGUUUAUUGUUAAUGUAUUUUGGCUAUAUGAUUUUUAUUUUUUAUUGUUAAACUAUUGUUCAUUAUAUGUAUAUGUUCUUAUAUAUAUAUAUAUAACAGUGUACUACAUUUUUUUAAACUUUUUUUUUAUCAAUCUUUUGUUCAAACAUAUAUACAUAUAUGUAUAUGUAUAUAUAUAUGUAUAUAUAUGCAACAGUGUACUUUAUUUUUUUAACCUUUUUUUUUUUUUUUCUUUCUUUUUUGUCAAUUUUUUGUUCAUAUAUAUGUAUGCAUAUGUAUAUAUGAUAUUAUACUGUAUUUUAUUUUAUUUUAUUUUAUUUUUUGUUGUUUCACUUUGUUGAAAAAAUUGUGUAUUACUUUUAUUUUUUAAAUAUUUUUGUUUUAUAUGAACAUUUUUGUUAAUCAAAAAAAAAAAAAAAAAAAAAAAAAAAACCAAAAAAAUAAUCAAAAACAAUGUUAUUUAGUUUAAAUAAGCUAAUUUCCCAAAUGGAAGAAGUUGGAAGUAAAGCUUUAAACGUCAGUUCAACACAAACAAGUGGUUCUUCAAAUAAUAACAGCUCGUCAACCCAUACUAAUAAUAAAACUAUUGUACAUACUGCGACAUCUUUUCCUCCUACUACUACUGUUAUUUCUACUACAAAUGAUAGUACCAGUUCUAUUAACAAAAAAGACAUGAAAGGAGUUUUAAAUGAUGAAGUCGUGACAGAUACAAAAACUGAUACAGGCAAUAUAAAAAUAGAAACAAAUAAAUAUAGUAAGAAUAACAAUUCAAAUUUGCUGAAUGAAAAUAAAGAUACGACUAAUACUACUAGUGGUAGUCCAAAAAAGAAUAAUAGUGAUAGUGAGGUCCCCAAUAUGUCAUUUAAUGAUUGUUUAGAUGUGUCAGAAAGAAAAAUAAAUAUUAUUUCAAAUGGUAAUACAGGUGAUGUAAUAAAUGAAAAAAAGAAUAAAAAUGUAUUAUUGUCUAAAGAUGAUGAUAAUAAUCGAAGUCUUAAAGUAGAAGAAAAAAAUGAAAAUAAUAUGGACUAUUAUAAAAAUGAUAAUUUAUUUAACGACCAAUCAAGUUGUUCUUAUUCAACUGAUGUAUGUCAAAAAUAUUAUCAGUUGUAUAAUAAAGAAAUAAUGAGAAGCGAAAGUGAGUUACUUGAAGAAGAUAUUUUAGAAACGGACGAGCAAGAUAGUAUCGAACGAACUAGGAGUGAACGAGUGCAAGAACAGGCACAUUUGUUUAAAAGGAGUACAGAUGUAACAUUACCAGAGAAUUAUAAUAAAACCAAUACUGACUGUGUACAAACAAAAACCUACGAUGUGAAGAAUCUCAUUUCAGCAGAAAAAGGAAUAGAACAAAAUAGUAAUAAUAGUAAUGGUAAAAAUAGUAGUGGAGAACUAAUCGAACAACGUUAUGAAACAGAAGCUGACACAAAGGAUGAUGUACAUGGAAGUAAACCAAAAUAUGAUAAUGAAAAUAUGCAUACAAUGUCAGCAUUCGAGAGUGAUAUUCAAAAAAAUGAUAAAACGGAAGUAAAAACAACACUAAGUAAUAAAGUGUUGGAUGAUCUAAUAUAUAGUAAUACUAAGAAAAAACAAACACCCAUCUUUACUUCUAAUGAAGAUGUAA